AUUUACAGCACAUCCAUCCUGACCACACCUGAUCUCUGAUCUCAGAAGCCAAGCAGGGUCGGGCCUGUUUAGUACUCGAAGGGGGACCACCUGGGAACACCAGGUGCCGUUUAGG
rnacentral:rRNA from 1 species